UGGCUCUCUAUGGAAUAAUCGCAGUCAACUGAGAGAGCCCUCAGCAAGCUUGCCUUCCAAAUUCCUCUGUAGAACGGAGAGCGAAAUUACUAGAUGGUAUUAAAUACCCUGCAGCAUAUGGAUAUGCGUUAUUUUGUGAGGUGAUAUAUGUGAAUGUGAGGAUGGCGAGUGUGGAUGAGGGGAGACGAGAUAUAAAUAACGGAUAUUGAGCCACCCCCGGUGGUGUAGUUAAUCGAGCCCGACGCUCAGAGCUCGCAUAUUCAUGCAAAAAUGCUUGGAUGUGCAUGGACUUGACUAUUCCUGACGAAUACGUGAGGAUCUGAUGCCAGGAAUAACAACGGUAUUCAGACCGGCAUUUUUUUAAACGAUCGAUCGAGGCGUUUAGUUUGCGGGAUUCCAAGGACCAAGGUUUGUUGCAAUACUUCAACCAAUGCUGAAAAUGAAUUUAUUCUUUUAGAAAAUCAAGUAAAUUUAUUUGGUAAUUUUUCUGAUUAUUUUUCACCACUGGUAUCCUGCCCUCUUGGUGAAGCAACUCACUUCCAAUUUUCAAACUUAUGAUAAAAUUUUGGGCCUCAGUGAGCUCUAAACUUUCUCGAAAACUGAAGAGGAGUAAAUAAGAAAAAAAAUCAUGGCUAGAGAAAAUCACCGCAGUGCGAAAUUAGUGCGCAUCAACUUCGUGUUUUGAAAUGCAUUGGAGGAACUGGACCGCAUCUAUGGUAAGUAUGCUCCAAGCGACGAGCGUGAGGCACUCCGCUGUGGUUUCCUAUCAUCGCGAAUCAGGGAAUCUAGCAAACAACUUUCGAAUAAACUGACCGACUCCUUUUGUUCAGUGAAGAAUUGAGGGAAAACCCUAAGACGAAAUGUUAAACUUGAAUUCCAAUUAGGACUCUUCAAAAUUCUUUCACUUACACGACGAACCAACGAAAAAUCGAAGAACGAUUGGUCAUUUACACCAAUUAUUCUCAAUUAAGUACACCUUAAUUCUCCAGAAUUUCCCCCCUCUUGGAUUUUUACCGGAGCGAACUGGACUUUUGCCAAAAUCGAAAGUUUCACUCCGGGUACGUUAUUUUCCGCUUCUGUGAGCCCCCUGGAUGCCAAUGAGACAAUUAAAUGAUUUUUUAGAUCAUCAUCUUUCAGCGCACGACUAUGAUUGAACGCACACCAGUAACCACUACAUCUGACACCUUUUUGUAACGGCGUAGGACGAUCAUCGAACUGUUACAUCAUCGUAGCGGCAGAGGCGCGUAACAUGCAAAGGAAAAAUGCAUUAGCCGGAGAUUAAUUAAACCAAGGAAGCACCCCUAGCCAUAGAGAUGGUUGGCGAGGUAUUUCAUCCCCUCUGGCUCGAUACUAUAUCAACACUCCAUUCGUGGAUGCUACAACAGGCAGGUGUAGAAGGAAAAACGAUGGUUUUACUCAAUCCUCUCUCUUUUUAUUUCAAAUGGAGAGUAAUAUGCCGUUAACAGUAAUAAGAUUAUGAUAAUAAUACAGUUUUAGAGCGUGAUUUUCCGUCAAUCGUUUUACAUCCCUGCAACGUGAAAUAACCCGUCUGGUGCAGUAUGUCGGGCUUCUCGCACCCGGCGCGGCGUGCAGAAGCACUUGAAAGAUAAAAAUGUUAUUAUUUUCCCUCAGUGCUUACUCCUAACUCUGUGUCAAAGCUGCAAGACUUUACGACUAUUUAACAGGUCAUUAUGUUAAUGAAAUCACGAGUGGCUGGAUUUAAAAAGUUGGGAUCAGUCAAUCCGUUAGAUGAAUAAAUUAAAUUUUUAGUAACUGUCACUUAGGAAAAAUUCACGCGGGCUUCAUUGAAAAACUGAUUUGUUUUUUCCUAUCGAUGAUUAAAUCACUGAAAGCUCACGCUAAUGAAAGCUAAUUUUAAUAAAUGCUCUUUAACCAUUCCAAAGUGGUUGUCCUAAUUACACAAUGGGAUUAUGCAUCCCCAUAUUAAAGUAUACUCAAUUCAGUUACCGUUAUAAUUAAACAUAGAAAAAAAACAUGGAAAGUGCAUUUAUAAGCAACCACCACACUCUGGCCAGGAGACGUUCCGAAGAAAAAAAAACACAAUAGAUGACGGAGAUCCCUUCCUGUUCCGUCACA